rnacentral:rRNA from 1 species
CCUACGGGAGGCAGCAGUGGGGAAUAUUGGACAAUGGGCGCAAGCCUGAUCCAGCCAUGCCGCGUGAGUGAUGAAGGCCUUAGGGUUGUAAAGCUCUUUCAGCGAGGAGGAUAAUGACGUUACUCGCAGAAGAAGCCCCGGCUAACUUCGUGCCAGCAGCCGCGGUAAUACGAAGGGGGCUAGCGUUGUUCGGAAUCACUGGGCGUAAAGCGCACGUAGGCGGACUUUUAAGUCAGGGGUGAAAUCCCGGGGCUCAACCUCGGAACUGCCUUUGAUACUGGAAGUCUGGAGUCCGAGAGAGGUGAGUGGAACUCCGAGUGUAGAGGUGAAAUUCGUAGAUAUUCGGAAGAACACCAGUGGCGAAGGCGGCUCACUGGCUCGGUACUGACGCUGAGGUGCGAAAGCGUGGGGAGCAAACAGGAUUAGAUACCCCAGUAGU